rnacentral:lncRNA from 1 species
UAGUUUGUACCCCUUUUGAUACGAACCCCGUCAAGAACUGACGCGACCCUAAUCAAUUUAGUUCCCAAGAUCGAAUCUAAACCAGGAAUGGAAUGGAACCUCGACCCAAUGCUUAUUGAAAGCACGAACCUUGGUAUGUGAAGACGCCACAAUCAGCUAUGGAUGGUCUGAUUGAUAAGUCAAGAAUUUGAACGCCACAGAAAUCUGAUAAGUUCAAAGAGUUCGCAAAGAACCAAAGAGAAUUAACUCUCUCACCAAUUGCAUCAAAAAACUUCUUUUUUAUUUAUUGAAUAUGAGUACUUUAUAUAGGGUUGGUUACAAGACUUUUUUUGGAAAUAAAUCCUAACCCAAAAAUCAAAUCUAAAUCUAAAUCUUCCCUAAUAGAAAAGAAUCUAAAUCAAAUAAGAAUCCUAAUCUAAGUAAAUAGGAAAGAAUUUAAACUAAAUCAGGAUCCUAAUUGUCUUAAAUGCCUUAUGUCAAUUACAUGGAAACUCGGCGAUUAAAAUAGAAAUAACUGAUUUGAUUCCCUAAUAGCCUCCUCAAGAAACGGGAAAGUAUCUGAAAAAAAAAGAAAAAAAUAUAUUUUCCCGCCAUAAUGUUUUUAAGCCAACUCCCUAUUUCAUGAAAGUGAGUAUUUGGAAACUUCAAGAGCCUGAAUCAUGCAUUUAUCAUGUGCGAUUCCUUCAAUGGACCUCCACGAAUUUGAUUGAGCCCAAGUUGCUUGAAUCAAUCCAUUAAGUGCUUCUUUCAAUUUCUUUGCUCGAGCUCUUGUAACGGGUUCGAUGGGAACUUGAAUAGGAUCUGAAUAUACCUCAUCCCAUGUGCUUGUGAUAGUUUUAUCCUUAAUCUCAUCAUUCCCCUCCUCUUGAAGAGGAUUUGUCCUCAAAUCAUCACCUACAUCAAAAGGACUCAAAUCAGAAACAUUAAAAGUAGCACUUACAUUGUACUCACCAGGCAAAUCUAGUUUGUAUGAAUUGUCAUUGAUACGUUCCAAAACUUGGAAUGGGCCAUCCCCUCGAGGUAAUAACUUAGAUUUUCUUUGUUCCGGAAGUCGUUCCUUACGCAUGUGUAACCACACCCAAUCACCGGGUUCAAAGACUAGCUUAUGUUGCCCUUUAUUGGCUUGUUUAGUAUAUUGCUCAAUUCUCCGCUCAAUGUUGAACUUCGCCUUCUCAUGUAUCUGUUUAACAAUUUCAGCAUUUUUCUUAAGAUCUAAGUUAACACGCUUAGAAACAGGUAAUGGAGUUAAAUCCAAUGGGGUUAAAGGAUUAAAACCAUAAACAAUUUCAAACGGUGAAUACUUAGUAGCAAAAUGAACGGAACGAUUAUAAGCAAACUCAACAAGUAGUAAAUAAUUUUCCCAAGUUUUGAUGUUCUUUUUAAUGAUAGCUCGCAACAGAGUAGCUAAAGUUAUAUUCACAACUUCUAUUUGACCAUCAAUUUGAAGGUUUUCCAAAAGUAACUUAAAAACUUAGCAUCCCUAUUAGAAACAAUUGUCCUGGGUAUACCAUGCAACCUCACAAUCUCCCUAAAGAAUAGGUCAGUAACAUUAGAAGCAUCAUCCGUUUUGAGACAUGUAAUUAAAUGUGCCAUCUUUGAAAAUCUAUCUACAACCACAAAAAUUGAGUCUUUCCCUUGUCUAGACCUCGGUAAACCUAGUACAAAAUCCAUCGAAAUAUCAGUCCAAGGUGCACUAGGUAUUGGCAAAGGGGUGUAUAAGCCAUAAGGUUGCACUUUCGAUUUGGCUUGCCUACAAGUGACACAUCUACCACAAAGUCUUUCAACAUCUCGUUUCAUAUGUGGCCAAUAGAAGUGUUCCUGUAAAACUGCUAGAGUCUUUACAACUCCAAAAUGCCCCAUUAACCCUCCUCCAUGGGAUUCUCUCACUAACAAAUCUCUCAAAGAACAGUUAGGCACACAGUUUAUUCUCCCGAAAUAAAUAGCCAUCAUGCCUAAAGUAUUUACCGACUACGGUCUUUUCACAAGCUUGGUAUUCAACACUAAAAUCAUGGUCAUCAGCAUACAAUUCCUUAAUAUGUUCAAAACCAAGUAGUUUAGCAUUAAGUGUUGAAAUUAAGACAUACCUGCGGGAAAGCGCAUCUGCAACAAUGUUUUCCUUACCUUGCUUGUAACGAAUGACAUAUGGAAAUGUCUCAAUGAAUUCUACCCAUCGAGCAUGCCUCUUGUUCAACUUGUGUUGGCCUUUAAGGUGUUUCAAGGACUCAUGAUCGGUGUGAAUCACGAACUCCUUAGGCCAUAGGUAGUGAUGCCACGUUCCUAACGCUCGAACCAAUGCAUGCAACUCCUUAUCAUAAGUAGGGUAGUUUAAGGCUGCCCCACUCAACUUUUCACUAAAGUAAGCAAUUGGUCAUCCUUCCUACAUUAGGACUGUGCCAAUACCAAUACCUAAGGCAUUGCAUUCAAUUUCAAAUGUUUUAUUAAAGUUAGGCAAAGACAAUAAAGGAGCAUUGGUCAGCUUUUGCUUGAUUAUUUGAAAUCCCUUCUCUUGCGCUUCUCCGCACUUGAAUCCAACAUCUUUUUUUAUUACUUCAGUAAGCGAUACGACUAAUGUGCUAAAGUCUUUCACAAAUCAUCGAUAGAAACUAGCAAGCCCAUGAAAGCUUCUCACAUUACUUACACUGGUGGGAAUCGGCCACUCUUGGAUUGCACGUACCUUUUCCUCAUCAAUCUGUAUACCCUGUGCACUCACAACAAAUCCUAGAAACACAAGUUUGUCAGUGCAAAAAGUACACUUCUUCAGGUUAGCAAACAACUUUUCUUUUCUAAGCACAUCUAAAACAUAUUUCAAAUGUACUACAUGAUCGUUUAUGUUUUUGCUAUAAAUGAGGAUAUCAUCAAAAUAACCAAUAGCAAACUUGCCAAUAAAAGCUUGCAAGACAUGAUUCAUAAGUCUCAUAAAAGUGCUCGGGGCAUUAGUUAGACCAAAAGGCAUGACUAACCAUUCAUACAAACCAUAUUUUGUUUUAAAAGCAGUUUUCCAUUCAUCUCAUUCUUUCAUUCUAAUCUGAUGAUAUCCACUUUUCAAAUCAAUUUUGGAAAAUACACAAGACCCAUGUAAUUCAUCAAGCAUGUCAUCUAGCCUAGGAAUGUGAUGUCGAUACUUUACCGUUAUGUUGUUGAUGGCUCGACAGUCAAUACACACCCUCCACGUCCCAUCCUUCUUAGAAACUAAUAAAACAGGAACUGCACAUGGACUCAUGCUUUCACUCACGUACCUUUUUUCCAUUAAUUCCUUAACCUGCCUUUGAAGUUCCUUGGUCUCCUCCGGAUUGCUCCUAUAGGCUGGUCUAUUUGGAAUGGCUGCACCGUGCACAAAAUCAAUCUAAUGCUCAAUCCCUCGGAUUGGAGGUAAACCAUGUGGUGUUUCCUCAGGAAAGACAUCCUCAUACUCCUACAAAAGAGAAGUAAUAGAACUAGGCAAAGUAGGGUCAAAUUUAUUAGUGUUUAAAAAUGCCUCUUUGUACAAAAGUACAAUCAUCGGCUGAUGUAAAAACAACACUUUUUUUUUAUCUCACUCGCUCUCGCGUAGAAAUUCUUUUGUUUUCCAUCUAAUUUUCGCUCAAUGGCUGUAUUUUUCUUUGGUUUUUCUCGCACAUUUUCCUCGGCCUCUUUUUAAAUUUCACUCUCUUUUUCUCUCCUUUUCUUUUCCUCACUCUCUCUCUGUAGGCUCACUUGGUCUCCAUAAACCUGCUUUGGUGUCAAUGGAACAAGAGUGAUGUUGCAUUGAUUAAAUACAAAUGAAUAUUUGUUAGUGAAGCCAUCAUGUUUCACACGUAUGUCGAAUUGCCAAGGCCGCCCGAGUAACAAGUGUCCAGCCUGCAUUGGCACUGCAUAACAAAGCACCUUAUCUUCAUACUUGCCAUAAACCAAAAGAGUCUGUGAUUACUCUUUAACCAAGCAAGCAUCAAAAGUAAAGGAAAGCACAUACAAUGUGGCUAUUUGCAAAAACCCAAUGUUGAAUGGAAUCUCUCCACUUAGCUGGUUGUAGGAUAAGUCCCUACCAAUAAAAAUAAAAGAUCAUAAAUGAACUAACCAAGUUAGGCAUCCUAAAGAAAAAAAGACUUAAAAGAAAAAAAAAAAAAAGAUAGUGGUGCAAUACGAUGAAAUGGGUGUUCCUGUAGGGGAUGAAGCCACUGAGUUGGCUUCCUUUCUUGGGGUAUUAGCUUGUGCAUCAGUUUCAAUUCUUUAUUCUGAUUGGUGUAAAGUUCCUUUAGAGACAAAUGAGUGUUUAUAGAAAUCAGUUCUGGCAAUUCUUAAAAGCUUGUUGCAUUUUACUUAAAGCUUUUCUUGUCAUUUUUCAUUAUUAGUUGUAUGAUUUCUAUUUUUAUUAAUUGACACUUAAACAAUCUUACUCUAUAUUUAGAGUCGUUUCAUUGUUCAUCUUAGAAGUAGAAAGCAGGUAAAAAAAUCAAUUGGAACAACAUUUCUAAACUUCAAGUAUAUGCUAAAAAAAAACUUUAUCUAGAAGUUCAGAAAUGAUAAAAAGAAAUUGUAUAGACCCUCAAUUGAUUACCCCCAAAUAAAGCGGCUAGUUUAGAUAAAGUUUGUCAACAAACAUUUGUCUGAAUCAUUUGAAACAAGUAUUCUAAAGUUAAGACAAGCAAUAUGUUGAUAGUUACAUCAUAUUUACCUUAUAUUAAAAUGAUGUUUCUUCUUUUGCAGAAAACCAGUCAUGUCAAUAAGAAUACGUGAGCUUUGAACAUGUAUUAUCACCACCUUAGUCGAAAAGGAUAUGUAGGAUUAAUGAAAGAAAUUGUAAGUGCAUAUAUAUCGAUAUAAAGGGUAUUUUUAACUAUUAAUUUUUUUACUAGUUAACCAAUCUAAUUUCUUUAUCGAAGUAGGCAGUGCAGAAUUGAGUCUUUCUAAAGACUUAAUUGAUAGGAGUCAACUAUGACAGUGAGCUCGGAUGCUAAAGGAUGGAGGAUACGACCUUGACACUUAACAAGUCAUUAAGAAAUUGGUAAUCAAGUUUAACUAGAACAAAAAUCGUUAUUAUUUUAGAUUUAUUCUUAUUUAAUAAUAUUAGUUUCUUUAUAGUGGGGUGCUAGGAAAAGCUCAAGGAGGACUAAAAAGACUCUUUGACUUCGGAUGCAAGAAAUGACUUACUUGCACAAGUAUUGGGAAAGCUUUCUCGAACUGGUCAUAUGCAAUGCCUGGACAAAUUUAUAUAUGCUUAUGUGUACUUUCAUACCAUUCGUGGACCCAUCCGAAGUGAGAGAGAGGGGACCUGGAGCUUUGAAAAAAUCAGUUGAUGAUUACUUGUAAGAAAUUUGUAGAGAAUUAAAGAGGACACCUCGUCAUUCAGAUGUAGGAAGUUCCGCUUUCCCAUAUAAUAAAGUCAAUGAUAACGACAGUGAGGGCGAUGUACAUCAGGUUAUUUUAUUUAUAAAUUUAACUAAAUUUUUCCUGGUUUAAGAUACUUUUCCUUGUAUAUCUCCCACUUAAUACAUUUUAAUUUACUUACCUUUUACUGAUAAUGCCGACAAGAGCUAGAUAAUUUGGGCAAGUCAACUGAGAAGAAGAGGAAAUGAAAGUCUAGUCAAAAGGAAGAACAACCUAAAGCAUCAACAUUGAGAAAAUAGGGAGAAGAUUAGAAGAAAGAAGAGACACCAAAAAACACUAUUGUUGCCAUUUCGAUGAAGUCUUCUGCCAUUUCGAUGAAGUAAGCAAAAAAUGAUGAUUACGAUAACGAUAGUGAAGAAGAUGCACAGAAAGUUAGUUUAUUUAUAAAAUUAGCUAUAUUUUUCUUGGUUUAAUUAAUUAAUAUUCACAGGAGCUAGAUAAUUUGGGCAAGUCGCUUAGAAAUGCUACAACAACCAUUUUGAGGAAAAGUCCAAGACUGAAUCCUUCAAUUCCAAAGGAUUAUGCAAAUGAUCAAAAGAAAAGAGUUAGAGACAGUAAAAAACAAUUGGAGUUUGACUAUGCUAAUAGUAUAACCAAAAAUCCUAUUGGUAUUCAAAUCUUCCCAAAUUGUGUUAUCUGGACAAAAAUCAUUAGUUCAAAACUCCCUAAUAAGGAUAUCUUAUUAGGAUUUGACAUCAUCCACUAGAUAAAACAUCUUCAAAUUCUUUCCAAUGGAAUCAGGGGCAGAUCCAUGUUCAAAUCUUUCACAGAGAUCCUUAAACUCUACAGUCUGUCUCAAUCUCCACCAUCUUACCAAGAUAUCUUAAUCAAGCUCCUAAAAUACUGUCCAGAAUUUCAUUCUGACUUCAUCCACCCAAAUCCUUUGUGGAAAAACAAGUAUUUCUUUAUUUAGUUACCUUUCAAACUGAAUGAAGACAUCAAUCCUACUAAGGCUACUUAUCCAAGAAUGAGCCCAUUUGACUUAGCCUUAGCCCAAAAGAAAUGUUCACAACUCUUGGCCCAAGGACUUAUCGAACUAACAAAUUCUCAAUGGGCUUGUCAAGCGUUUUAUGUGGAAAAACGUUCGGAACUUAUUAGGGGAAAAAACAUCUUCACUUAUCUAAAAAAUGCCUAGAUCUAGUGCAUGAUUUUGUAACCGAUACACUAUUUGGUGAUGAAGAGUGGCAAGCUACUCAAUAUAGAAAAUUAGAGGCGAGCGUCUCAUUUUUAACCCAAAAUGUCAACCAUGCUUCCACCAUUCCCAGACCUUCACUCAAAAUGUCCAAAGCUGUUCGUCUCAUACAACACCUUCAACAUUCUUCCCUAUUGGUAUUCAAUUUUUUCCGAAUUGUAUAAUUUGGAAAAAGAUUGAACUGUAGAGAUGACUGAAAUAUCCUCAGAAUCUGAAGAUUCUGCGAUGAUGAAAGCAGUUUGGUCAUCUUGUCUUAUUUGAUCUCCUAGAAGAAGAUUAUCCUCAUCUACUCCUCCGGUACCUCCUGAAGAUUACCUAAACAUGGAAACAACUUCAUCUUCAGCCUCAACACCUUCAUCGUCUUCAUCCCAUAUUUCAAGUCAGGUUUUUGGCAAAUUGGCAUUAAACCCUUAGAAAGAUACAAAACCGCUUUUUGCAUCCCUAAUGGUCAUUAUCAAUGGACAGUUUUACCCUUCGACUUGAAAACUACCCCCUCCAUUUUUCAAAAAGCCAUGGUCAAAAUCUUCCAACCCAUCCUACAUCAUGCAUUGAUUUAUAUUAAUGAUAUUUUGUUGUUUUCAAGCACACAUAAAGAACAUCACCAAUUAUUAAAUCAAUUUUUUGAUAUCAUCCAGACUUACGGAAUUAUGUUAUUAGCCAAGAAAAGCACCAUUGCAAUAGAUAAUAUUGAAUUCCUUUGAAUGAUUAUCAAAGACGGACACUACCAGCCAGGAAAGCACAUUGCCCAAUAAUUGCUCCACUUUCCAGAUCAACAACUCACCAGGAAAUAGAUACAGUAAUUCCUUGGAAUCAUCAAUUACAUCAGAGACUUUAUUCCUUAUGUCGAUCACCAUACCAAUCAGCUUUCAGCUUUAUUAAAGAAAAAGCCACCAGAAUAGAAUGAUAACCACACACUUGCUGUCACCACUUUGAAAAAGAUUGCUCAAAAUCCACCACCAUUAAAGCUCAUCACAGAUGGCAAACAGAUACUCCAUACAGAUGCAAGUGACGAAUCAUGGGGUGCUAUUCUUCUCGAAGAAAUAAAUGGCAAAGAAAGCUUUAUUGCUUACGCUAGCAGACAUUUCUCUGACACACAACAGCACUACCACAAUGUGUACAAAGAAAUCUUAGCUGUAAAGAAAUUUGAAUACCAUAUUAUCGGCUAUCAUUUUCUUAUCCGAAUGGACAGCUCAACAUUUCCCAACAUCAUGAAAUUCAAGGGGAAAACAGUUCCAGAAAAGAUGUUGCUCAGACUUAAAGACUGGUUCUCAAAAUAUGACCUCUCUAUGAAGCAUAUAAAAGGAACCCAGAACCUCAUUCCAGACCUACUCUCAAGACUUGCAAAACCAAUAUCACCAUUGCAUUACAUAUCCACAGGAUAUCACUUUCCCAUCAUUUUCAUGGCCACCUCUUUACCAAACCAAGCCUUAACCCACAAGACUUUUCCUCUCGGACAUCCAAGAAUUUGCAAAAAGAUAUGUUUUUAGGUUUUUCAUGAAAGCCUACAUGUUAGCAGAUUCAUUUCCUUUCUCAACUUUCCACCCUGAAAACUUGUUUCUCACAGGUCUAAACAUUGACCCUUCCAGAGAUGUGGCUGAAGAUGAGUUAUGGUACAUCUGGUGCCUAACUAUUCUUUACACCACAAAGUUAAUUCUCCCUGUCAGAACUACCCUGAAUCAUCUCAUGAAUCCUGACAAAUCAACCUCAUUGACCUGGACCCUUCUUGAGUGGUUCUCUGCACUUCCCUAGUGGAGAAGAAAGUUACAGCAAUUAUCCACGGUCUACAACCUUGAUCCAAUGCCUGAAUCAGAAACAAAUAUGUUCACCUCAGUGUUCAUUAUCCACAGGCCAUAUUUCCAGUAUCGAAACACCAACUCUUUUUGGACACAAGACCAAGUGUUCGAAUGGUUCACAACACCACACCCAACAAUCCUUGAACAAGAUAAUAACAUCCAGAAAAACCUUCAGAAUUUCUUUUGCCACCUCAAUCACCUGAACCACAUAAAGACAUAUUCCAUACGUCUUUAGGUCCACAACAUGACAUCAUUAUGAUUCCAACUCCUUCGUCCAUUUCAAAACCAAAACCCACAGGUAUCAUCAUCAAAGAAGAAAACCAAAACCCUUGGACUGACUUCCUACCCUUAAGCCAACAUCUCCAACAGCUCCAAUAUCCAUCGCAACUGGAAGAACCUUCAUUAUCUAGAGCUAGUACUAGCACUUGUCCACCUAAAGUUCAGCCAACCAAUCAGAUGGUGACAUUCCCCACUCAUUGUCCAACAGCACAAUAUUGCCCAUGGCCACCAUGUGGUCCCACUUGCAAGCAUCCAAAGAAAAAAUUAGCAAAAGACGACACAGAUAGCUCCUCUGAUGAAGAUUACAUGAAUCUUUCGUCCCCAUAGCUAUAAGUUUGUCAUGUGUAAUUAUUAAAGUAUGCUGAGUCAUGCUUUAAUUAUUAAAGUUUGCUUUUAUUACUUUAACUUUUAUGAAGUAAAGUUUGUCGUGUGUAAUUAUUAAAGUAUGCUGAGUCAUGCUUUAAUUAUUAACGUUUGCUUUUAUAAAGUAAAGUAUCUUGAUAAGGGUCCUGUCUUAUCAAGCUUGUCUCCUCCUCAUCCUAUAUAUAGGAUGAUCUCUUCCUUUGUAAAUCAGAAUCGGAGAUCAAGAAAUAAAAGCGUGUGUUUCCUAAACAUGAAGUUCUAAACUUUCUUUCUUUUCUCUGUUAAUGAAGUUCUAACAUUCUAAAAGUAAAUGGGAAGAUUUAAAUCUAUUCAUUUUGAAAUUAAGGAAGUAUGCUCUACACUUGUUUUUCAUAAGGAUCCUGUGCAUCAGAAAACUUUUAAAGAUUUUUAUCUGGUUUGGUACCCUGUUUUAAGACAAAAGAGUCUGUUUUGGGUUGAAUAACCUCAAAUGAAAAUGUUGUAAGUUUUCUGUUUUUCCAUCUAAAUAUAUUGGCUGGAAACCUAAGCAUGCGGACUAUUGGUCCAAAUGACGAUCUUUUCGUCAUUGCUUUGGUCUAACAACGCCACGUACUUCAUUGCCUAUUCUGGUAUCAGAGCCUCAAACUUACAAAAGUGGUAUGAUAAGAGUCUUCCCUAUUUCUUUGAAAAAUAUUUAGGCUUCAGAAAUCAGAGAGAAAUUUUCACUCAUGGCAUCUACUUCAUCUAAUGACGCUUCUACUUCUACGAUCACUCCAAUCUCUCUUUCUUCUACUCUGUCCUUACCCAUAUCUUGCACCAAACAAAUUGCCAAUAAAAUAGAAAACCUUGUUGAAUACUCAUAUAUCCCUAAGUUAGUCCAGAUCAAUGAAUCUUCAUUCCCUGUUCUUAGUCAUUAUCAGCUUUACAAGAGAGGAAACUCUUUUACUAGAAGUAUAAGAACCCUUAUCUCUACUAAAAGACCUCAUCCAAAAAAAUACAUCCAGUCCUCUAGAUUAGAUCAGUGCACUCUUCAAGCUAUCACAGCUGGGCAAUAUGUUACUUUGGAAAUGCCUCCAGAAUUGAUUUCCAACUAGAAAAGGGAGGGUUAUACUCAUCUCCAUCUUGGGGGAGUGAGAUUAAUCCUUACCUUACAUGGAAUAAAAGGAUUGCCUGUUACAGCCAGAAUUGCUAUGCUUGACACCAGAUUCAAACAGUAUCAAGAUGCAGUCGUAGGUACUGUCCUGACCACUUUACAUGCAGGAAGUGUUCUUCUCACUUUCUACCCCAAUUUCAAUCUAUCUCUCCAAGAUACCAACCUGUCAACUGCCUUGAAAGUUCAAGUUCAAAUUCAAGGAGCAGAAUAAAUCUCCUCAGCAAAAAUGGCUACCUUACACCAUCAGUUGGUCUAUAGGCUUCAAAAUCACGCCUUAGAUCUUUCCACACCUAACAACCACUCUGAUGCUCUUAUGGUGUUAGCAGAAUCAGACCAAAUUCCAACCAUCAUCCAAAUCCCUAAACAGAUCCUUCACCAUGAACUCAUAAAACUCAUGCCUCUGGAAUGGAUUUCAAAUUAUGAGAAGUUCCAUAACAAUACAGCCCCCAUUCAGACAUCAGAAAGUAUGUUUGAAAGAAGGCCAGAUGGUAUUGUCAGAAUGACUUUUCGGCCUCCACCAAGUACCCUUCAACAAAAACCUAGUGCUCCUCAAGAGCCUCCAAGGUUAUCAUUCAUUUAUUCUUCAAUGAUUACGGUUGUUCAAACAUCCCAAAAAAAUCUGCCAAUCGUAGAAUUUAACUCCGAAGGGUACCCAGUAUACCCUACGAAGUUAAACAGACACUUUCUAUGGGAUGCUCCAGGAUCUGGAAGGUGCGACCCAAAUUGUCCCUGUUGGGAUGAUUGGGAAGAGGACGAUCAAGACUCCAAAAGGAAAAGAAAACCAAAAAAGAAAACUCAUUCUCCUUGUAACCACACAGAAGCAAAACCGCCAUAUGAACCUCCACCUCCACCAGCUCCAUUACCCAUAUACAAAAAAGAACUCAAAUGGAUUGCAAAACAUUGCAAACCUGAAACCUUUUCACCAAAUCUACAUCAGACCUCUACUCCUCAACCCAUUGCAUGCAUGAUGUUUUCUCAUCAUCCCAAGACUAUUCUUUGAAUUUCCCAUCCUUAGAAGCCUAAUCUGAUUCACAAAAAAAGGUUGCGACAAAACCUUUCAUUCCUUCAGCCAUAAUCUUUGGUGGUCACCUAAAAGAACCUAAACCAUUUGAAUCAGUCCUCAACUGGUAAACAUAGAAUGCCAGAGCACAAAAUAAUACAUUGGUAGACAUCCACAAAAGGGUUGAUAAGAUCAAUUUACAAAUUGACCAAAUCGAAACCAAGGUUGACUCAAUAACCUUGCAAAUGCAGCAGAUCUAUCAAAAUUUACAAUCCCAAAUCUCUCAACUUGAUGCAGACUUAAGAGUCAUGCUUAGUCAAAGAUACUAUGGCCCAGAGUUUGACCAAAAGGAGAGAGAAAUUAGACGGCUAAAGGCAGAGCUUGAUCAGAUUGAAUCCAAAAAACACAGGCCUACACUCUUCACCAAAUCACCUCCCAUACCUACAAUCAGUCCAACUUACCAUCCAUUUAGUCCCAUGCUUGCCCCAAUGAAACCGUAUGAUCCUUCCAAACUAUUUGGAUUGACACAUACCCUUUUCAAAAAUAUGCCACAACCACCUCAGCCAAAACCAAAACCUAAGCCCCAACCAAGACCUAUCAAAAUUCAUCAACUAAUCUCCACUACCACACAACAACAAGAUUCUCCAGAACAUACUCCUAUUUUUACCCCACAACCAUCUCAAUCUAAGGAUAAAGAACCCAUGCAUCAAUAUGCUUCCCAUCACAUUGAAGUUUCCACUGAUUCCACAGAAACUGAUACUUCUGUGAUAGAAUCUGAUACAGAAUCUUCACCUUCAACCACUGAUUUGGAAAAGGCUUAUGCAGAUAUUACUAAACUUUUGAUGGCACAACCCGAAGAAACAGAACCAGCACAACCAUCCCAACCAGAAUCAUACUUUGAAAUAACCUCAGACAUUGAUGAGCCAGCUGAAUCCUCAACUAAUCAACCACCUCAGCCUCAAGCUCAAAAUACAUACAAACCAUAGAACGGUCCAUGGUUUACGUUUGAUGACAUUCCCACAGUCAAAUGGAGAGAGAAGUUAUCUGAAAUGUUAGCCUGGUUAGAUCUCCAAAUGAUAAGAUCAGGUGCGACCAUAGAAUUGGUCCUCAAAGAGUUCAUCACCCGUUUCACGGGAUCUCUAAGAGACUAGUUUGACAAUCUUGGCCCCUACAAACAAUUACAGUUUGUGCAAUUGCCAAACGUCUCUAGUGCUCUUGCUAUUCUGCACGAACAGUUUAUUGGAGAACCAUCUGCAGUUUUUGAAGCAGCAAGAAGAGACUAUCUCAACAUGAAGUGUAGUUCUUUGAAUACUAAAGAUCUUGAUUUCCGUUACAAAAGAAUGUCAAUCCUGUUCUACAAGCUUAAUGGAUUCAACUAUCAGAAGCAUGUGUUUUUGGCUUCUUUACCUACGAAAUUGCAACUAGAAAUCAACCGACAACUUACAGUGCACAACUUUUACCUUGACAACAUCUCAUUGGGAAAAAUCUUUCAGAUAGCUAAGGGAUGUUUGGAAAAACUUUGUGAGCAAAAACAGUUCUUCAAAGAACUGGUAAAAGACAAAGAGCCUUUCAGAAACGCCUGUAAGAAACCCUACUUGCAGAUCAAAUGCAAAGAUAAAAAAGAUUGUGACUGCAGUCAUCCACGGAAAAGGCAUUUCAAGAAGAUUAGACAUCCAACUUCCUUUUCUAAACCAAAGUCUAGGAAAUGGAAGAAACCAUACAGAUUCUUCAGAAAAAAAAAAUCUUUCUCUUCCAAAGAACAGGGCAGGAAAAAAUCUAGCAGAUGCUUUAUUUGCGGGAAAAAAGGCCACUAUGCAAAGGAUUGUCCAAACAAAAAAGAAAAGGAAAUGAGAUUGGUAAAGCAUUUACAAGUUGUUACUGAGUAUUCUGCUGAAAAGGAAGUAGAAUCUUACUUCUCAUAACAAGAAGACCCUACUGAUGAAACAGUAUUCGCACUGGAAAACUCAUCUGAUGAUUCAAAAAACGAUGAGUUUCAAUCUAUUUUUCAUCAACAAUCGUUGUCCCUAAACACUACCAUUUCCCUCCAUUAAACUCUAAAUCUUACCUUCAAAGUUUCAAUGACCCAUACCAGCAAUAGGAUUUCUAAAUAUUGGUGCCCAAAAAAGCAUGAUGAAUUCAUAGAUUCUUCCAGCUCAAAACUGGAAACCUCAUACAGAACAUUUCAGAGCAGCUGAUGGAAAAAUGUUCACCACAUAAUUGAUUACCAAAAAUCUCAUUGGUAUUCAAAUCUUCCCAAAUUGUGUUAUCUGGAAAAAAAUCAUUGGUUCAAAACUCCUUAAUAAGGAUAUUUUAUUAGGAUUUGACAUCAUCCACUAGAUAAAACAUCUUCAAAUUCUUUCCAAUGGAAUCAGGGUUAGAUCCAUGUUCAAAUCUUUCACAGAGAUCCUUAAACUCUACAGUCUGUCCAAAUCUCCACCAUCUUACCAAGAUAUCUCAACCAAUCUCCUAAAAUACUAUCCUUUGUGGAAAAACAAGUAUUUCUUUAUUCAGUUACCUUUCAUCCACCCAAAUCCUUUGUGGAAAAACAAGUAUUUCUUUAUUCAAUUACCUUUCAAACUGAAUGAAGACAUCAAUCCUACUAAAGCCACUCAUUCAGGAAUGAGCCCAUCUGACUUAGCCUUAGCCCAAAAGUAAUGUUCACAACUCUUGGCCCAAGGACUUAUCGAACCAACAAAUUCUCAAUGGGCUUGUCAAGCGUUUUAUGUGGAAAAAUGUUCGGAACUUGUUAGGGGGAAAAAGUGAUUAGUCAUUGACUAUCAACCCUUAAACAUGUUCUUACAAGAUGACAAGUUUCAUUUGCCAAAGAGACAAAGCAUCUUCACUUAUCUAAAAACCCAGCCGCUGUAGGUUUUGACAAUUACCAAACCCGCAAUGGUACCCGAUGGAUUUUUUGCGGGUUCUUACAUUUAAAAUCACAAAUGUUUAAUAUGUAAUUUUAUAUUAAUAAUCUAAAAUUCCACAUAACAUACUCAAUUCUAAAUUUAAUCAAUGUAAAUAGAAAAUUAAAAUUUCAAUAUCAAUUCAAUACAAUUUCUCAAAUUUAAGUAUGAAAUACACAAAUCCAUUAAAAAAAACACAAACUAGUAUUAAAAAUAAAAAUUACAUUUCAUAUUAUCAUUUAACACAAGCUCCAAGAGAAGGUUUUCAUUUCAUUCACCACCAUUAGCACCCAUCCAACAUGAUGCCUACAAUAAUGAUUAAAAUUAAUAUUUUGCAAAGAACAAUACUUUUCAAAUACUAUUCCAAACAAAAAAAAUUAUAAUAAUGAAAUAAUUCAUGCAAAAUUAAAAUAAGUAUAUAAUAAUCCAUGAAUUAAGUUAAAGAAUUGGAAACUUAGUUCUUUUUUACCUCAUCAACAAUAUCUUCAUCUUCGAAGAAUUUGCUAUUUCCUACUUUAUUAGAAGAAUUUGCUAUUUCCUACUUUAUAUGCAGUAAAGGAAGUUGGGCGUUGGCUCACUGUCAUAAGCUCACGACUAAAGAAGUGAAGAAUGAAGAUAGAGAUGAGAGAUGGGUGCGCUGCUCAAGUUGAAAUCCCUUUAGUUUUGUUUAGGUUAUGACUAUUAGGGCCAUGUAUGCUACUUGCAUUGUUAUACACAGUAUAUGCAUUUACAUUUUGGUUAUUUGGCACUUUGCAUAAUUGCAUUAUUUUCUUUAUUUAUUUUUUAGAUUUAAUUAUUUUUCAAUUAAAAUUAAAUUAAAAAUAUUAAAAAAAAUUACGGGUCUGGCGGAUAUCCAUGUAGAUAUUCGCCGGAUAUUAGGCUAAUACCAAACCCACCCACAUUCAAGUGUAGGUUUCAAUUUGUAAUACCAAACCCGCCUGCAACCUGCAAAAUUAUCUGUAGCGGGCAGGUUUGGGAGGGAUUGCGAGUAUAAUUAUCAUCCCUACUUAAAAUGUUAUUGCAAGGAUACCUAGGACAGAAAUUUUAACUAUCACAAGACUAAUUAGAGCCUAGUAAGGUCUUUGCUAUUUUUAUUGAUCUUUUAAAACACAGUUCUGGUAGCCAGUGACUUUGUUUGGUUGUAGUUAAAAAUCAUAGAAUAGCUUUAUUUUUAACAUAAAUGAUCUCAAUUAAAUGUUUGGUGUAAAUUUGUAAAAGAGCGGAGUUAUUUGCACUCAAAAUGUUAUUUUGAAGGAUAAUCUUUUAUCAGCCAAUAUAAUAUAAUUACUUUGAAUACUCAUAUUGUACACCUGUUCACUUUAUAAUUAUCUUUCUUUAAACCCUAAUGAUCCCCUUUUGAUUCUUCAAAAUAAUAAUAAUAAUAAUAAUGCUAGAAAAAAUUUCUUUGAAAUUAAUUUUUUUUAAAACUGUUUUCUAGCCUCACAUUAAGACUUGGUGAGCAAAGAAUUACACUGCUCAGAUAGCUCCUAACAUAUCAACGGCUUCGACCUUCGGGUACGCGGCAAGCAAAUAUACCAAGAUGAGUUUUUCCUUAUAAAAAAAUGGCAGAAAUUAAGCUCCUCCGAUGCCCUAAUUAAUCCAUUCAUGAUUAGCUUUGGUUUUAUUACUUUUCAUUUUGGGAAGAAAAAUUAAUGCUUAAGCAUAUAAAUCUCUAUGUAAUAUUAACUUGAUUAUCUUCACCAGCAGACUGGUAUGUUGAAUAGUUUCAAUAGUUUUAUGAGUGCAUAGAGAAAAAAAAAAGAUUGUUAAUCUAAAUAGAUAUUUUUUACAAUUUAAUGAGUGUAUAGAGUAAAAAUUAAUUUUUUAAAUUUAGUUAUGAGUGUACAAAGUAAUAAAGUGUUUAGAAUAAUAUUUUUAGAGCACAAAAAAGGCCCUACCUUUGUAAAAAUCUUAUCAAAUUUGUGACAAGUUCAAAUUUUGACUAGGGAUGGCAAUGGGGUGGGGUGGGAGUGGGGAGACCUAACCCAUUCCCUACCCCAUUAAAAAUUUCACCUACAUUCCCCCACCCCUUCCCCAAUAAAUUUAGUAGGGCAGGGAUGGGGAAUCCGCACGUGGGGAAUGAUUUCCCCAUCCUCACCUCAUUCUCUAUUUAAUUAUUUUAUAGUAGGUAUAGAUAUAUAUUUCAAUAAAUUAAAAAUUAAAGAAUUAAAUAAAAUCUUUACCAUAUUGAAAAAUUUCAAAAUAAUAUCUUGAAAAGAUAUUAAAAUUGAAAAAUGUUUGAAGAGAGCAACACUUUAAGAGAGAAAAUAAAAUAUAACAAUAUUUUGGGGUUGAAUAAGAAUUAUAUUAUAAGGUUUUCUUUUAUUCAUAGCUUAUUUAUUAAAAUAAAAAGAAAAUUUAUUAAAAAAUAUUUAUAUGUAAUGGGGAUUGGGGUGAGGGCAUUGCUUAUAAGCUCUGGGCAGCCCUCACCCUUUGAGAGUUCUUUUGGGGUUGAGUUAGGCCCAGGCCCAACGUAGUAUCAGAGCCUUUGCCCGAGAGAGCGGGGAAUACCAUUCGAGGAGAGUCCAGAGAAGGUCUGGUGAGAACUCAAGAGACUACUGGACACAAGACUUGCUAGUGCAUGAUUCUGUAAUUAAUACACUAUUUGGUAAUGGAGAGUGGAAGACCAAACCCCACCCUAUAAAGAAGUUGGGGAUUAUUUUUCUUCCAUUUCCCACCCCAUUGUCUAAAAAGUAUUAAAAAUUCACCCUAAUUAGGGUGGGGAACCAUGGAGGCCCAAACCCAUAGAAAAUUUUAUCAUCUCUAAUUUUCACUACCAUAAUAAAAAAAUCUGCAUGGAAACGCAAUAAAAAAAUUGUAAAAAAAUUUAGUACAUAAGCAAUCAAACUGAGGGUAAGUGAAUAAUUUUUUUAAAAAAUAAAAUUUUAGUUUAAUACGCUAAUUGCUAGUGCUCUGCUCAACCAACCUCUCAAGACUGAGCCUGGCUCAACUCCGAGCAUGAAUGGGCCAAAAGUUUUCAAAUUAGACUUGGACUGCCUCGCCCAAUUUACGCAUAUUGCCCCAUGCAUGUUUGUUCAUUUAUUUAUUUAUUGUUUUUAUUGAUAGAGCACGUUUACUCAUUUUGUGUGUUCAUCUCAAUUUGGGCGCUAAGGGUUCUAGUUCGAGCACUUGUGUUGGGGCUCACAUAAUUGAGUAGAAGUAAUUUUUUUUUUUAAUAAUUGAAUGGAUAGAAUAACUAUAUCACUCUAAUUUAGAGACCCCCAUACAUUCUAAGAGACAGGAUGGAGUGCCCCAAACGGAUCCUUAAAUAAAACUAACACUUGGUAGGAAAAGAGUGCACACAAACUUUCACUUAUUAUCUAGUUUGCAUUUUAGAAUUUCAGUAGGAGUUUCUACGAACAGCUUCUUUCUUCAAAUUUUAUAUCACGUACAUUUAUAUGUACUGUAGCAACUUCUUUAAUUCUUCAAUAAUGAGGUUGGAACUUAAUUAGCUGAUAAUGAAUUUGAGUUGCAAGUAGGGUCGUUUUUACAGCAAGCUAACAAAACCAUCAAGGGGGGUUUGUGGGGCCUGGGAGUUCCAACUUGUGUUUUACUGCUUACGUAAAAUGAAAGGCUAAAAUAUAUGAUUGCUCGUUGGUUCUUUUAUAAAAAGAAGAGACUUUUGAUCUUUGAGAUUUGAUGCGUUUUGACUUUUGGACUUGCACCGGCAAACUUCUCUUUUUGGAUUUAAAGAUAAAUUUCCCCACUCACAUGGUUUGUUUCCGGAGCCAUCACUACUCAACUUUUGCAGAAAUUUCUGAUCAAAAGAUGCCCAAAUUGAAGGGCCCAAGCUCUUCAACAUUUCCAUUCAUGAUUAGGGUUUGUUGGGACUAACUUUUUUCUUCAUUAAUAAUAUAUUUUCUUUGUUCAUAGCACAAGAAAAAAUAUUAAUUAUUUUUCAUUAUAUAAUACACGUACAUAACAAAUCCCUCUUCUUUCGAUCCUUCUUCUGCAAAAGAGUGCGUCAAUUCUUGGAAGCUUUUUUCUUUUUUUGUAAAUAUUAACGCUUUUUCUUAUCUUUCUUCUUUCUAGUGUUUUAGACAUGCUACCACUUACAACCUCUUUUUGGUCACUUUCUGUUUGUUUUUCUCUUUUCUUUAAUUGAAGGCUUUUCCAACCACAUGAGCAUGAAGAUUCUAUGCUUUUGUACUCAGAUCAUGGCCAAAUACUUGGAACACGUACGUGCCAUUCAUUUGACCUUGAUUCCAUGAAAAUUCCUGCCCUAGGACGUCUUUCCGGAAAUUCCUUUAUCAUUUCGUCCAAGAGAAAUAAUUCCUCUAAUUCUAUGAAUUUUUCUAGAAUAGCCUUUUCUUGAAUAUCAUUCAAAAAGGUUUCGGAUUGACUAGUAUUCCACCAAUUAGUAACCCAGGAUUCCAGACUUUUAUUAAAUGAGAGAGGGAUCCACCAGGGCAAAAAUACUACAAAUACUAUAGAUGAAAGAUAUCUAAGGGGAAUGGAUGCGUUAACCACUCACAGUUCCACCAUCCUUCACCUCUUUGGAAAAAUGAACAAUUCUUCAUUCACCUUCCCUUCAAACUCAAUGAAGACAUAAACCCCACAAAAGCAUCACACCCGGGUAUGUCUCCUUCAGACCUCUUACUUGCCAAGCAAGAAUGCUCUCAGUUACUCCAACAAGGUCUUAUUGAGUGAUUAGGUGAUUUUUCAACAUUCCUUUCAGGGGGAUACAAAUCGCGGUUCAAAAAUUUCAAGAAACUUAUUUUCUUGCUAACUCAACGGUAGAGUACUCGGCUUUUAAGUACGGCUAGCAUUAAAGCUAUUCACCGAGCACAAGGAGAGAGAGGGAUUUGAACCCUCGAUAGUUCUUUGGUAAAAAUGCUACUUUAAUCUCUAUAGCUCGAUCCAAAUAUCUAGAGAUGGCCAAUGGAAACAAGGUCCCUGUGUGUUCGUGCCCGUGCCGUGCCGUGCUUAAAUUUUUUUACUUAGGCCUGGCCCAGCACACGUGUCGUAUUCAUUCAUGUCGUGCCCACACGUGCCAUAAAUUUUUUUCUUUUUUUUAAAUUUUUUAAGAGCGCAUGGUAAACUAUUGGCGUAAUUUUUUCAAGUCUAUAUAUUUUUCUUAGGUUUAUGCCUUUAUUCAAAUUUAAUAGAAUUAAAAAUUCAAAACUCAAGUCUAUAUUUAAUAAUAAUAAACUAAUAAUAGUAAGAAAUGUAAUAUUGAUUAAUAAUAAAAAUUUUCUUAAGGGUUAACUUAAUUGUUAACUUGGACUUACAUAGAGUCAUAAAUUAUAGUUCACAAUAAUAUUAAUGCAUAUUUAUAAAACCAUGAUAUUUAUAAAUUUAUUCAUUAAAAUCAUGUUAUCAAUUAUUUAUUUAAUAAAUUAUAAAUACAAAUCAAUUAUAGUAAUUUUUUUAAAACUAAGAAUAAUUUAAUUUAAAAAAAUCCAAUUUCCAGUUAUUUGUAAAAUUAUAAAAUUUUAAAUUUACUUUCAUUCAAAAAUAAAACGUGCUUAUUGCGGGUUUUUUUAUCAUGCCGUGCUUUUAAGGCCCACGAGCCUAAAAUUCUAAGCGUGGCCUGACCCACAUACGUACCAUGCUGUACUGUGUGCCUCACCGAAACGUUCUCAUGUCAUGCCAUGCUGUAUGGACACGUGAUGUCCAACCCAUUGGCCAUCUCUACAAAUAUCAAGUUACCCUUGUAUUUUCAAAAUUACACAGAAGCUCUUUGUUGUAUAUUUGUUUUCAACAAAAAUGGAGCCAAAUACUUGUAUUCUUUGCAAAAAGUAAGUGAGACACCCGUAAUAUUUUAAAACUCAUCCAAACUACCCUUAUUUCUCUUAAGUGUCAACUUUAUUUAUCAUUUUACAAUUUUAUUCUUGGUGAUGGUAAAGCUUAAAUAUUUUGGGAUAUGAAGAAAGUAAAAAUGACUUAUAUACCAUUUAUAAAAUUGACUGAAUGAAAAAAAUGAAAAUUAUGGGGAACGUUUGAAAUAAAAAAGAAAAGUUGUAAAUACACAUAAUAUUACCCAUUUUAUUAUCAAAAUGUUGCCAAGUUCACUAGUACCCAAACAUUGUCUAAUUUGUAUUUAUAAGAUGUUUUAUUUGAUUCAUGGUCCUAAAACAUUGAUGCAGAGUAAGAAAUUGAAGAAAUCCUAAUUAGAUAGAAAUUUAUAAUAUUUAGAAAUACUUUAAUUAGUUUUCUAGUUUAAUUGGUUGUCUAUUUAGAGUUUUAUUAUUUUGGCAUUGGUUGUUUGAGUUGCAUUUCUAAUUUAGGCCUAAGUUGUAGUUCAUAUAAAUAAGCAUUUUUUGUAGCUUUUACAAGUAAGCAUUGAUUUUUUUGUCAUUGAUUAUUUUGUCAUUAGUUAUUUAAAAAAAAAAAACUAUAGAUUUGAGUUCAAUAAUAUUUUUAGUUCUGAAAGCUCUAUGUGAGUUUUUCAGUUUAGUUAAUUCCCAACAUUUUGCGAAAUCAAUGAUUGUUAACCCCCUAAAUUCACAAUAUUUUUUUGAAUGAAUGCAAACUGUAGAUUUUGAUGUUUUCAAGAAUCAACGAAGUAUUAGAACAUUAAACUUCCACUGCAGCAAUUUCAGCUUCAACACAUACCAUUUCUCUUUUUUUAAUCCUUAAUCUGAUUUGGCUUUAAAACAAAAACAGUACACCAUAAUCACCACAAAAGCUGCCAUGCACAGCCUCCAUUAGUCUAGCUCUUUUUCUGUUGAUCAACCACCACCACGAUAGUUAAAAGAAGCUGACCACUAAAAUUAACCAUGAAUGUAACCUUUCGCCACUAAAUCACCAACAAAAUGAUUAAAAUCCAUACACUGCCAUAGCUUUCGUUCACUCAAUUUAACCGUUCGUUGGCCAAGGCCUCCACUAUACACUACCACUAUCAAUCAACUCCUCUCCAUAAGUACAUCCUUUCUAACUAUUCACCACUAUCGAUUGAUGCACCGAUCACCGGAAUCAAAGCCAACACAAACCGUUGUUACUUGUCUCAAACUUUCGAUCAAACUACCACUUUUUCAGACAAACGACCACCACCAUCACACUUACCAUCGUCAGAUCUUCUAGAUCCACCCUAUCCUUAUCCAAUUUUUUAUUACCAUCACCGGUAAUCCUAUCUUUUACUUAUUUAUAGUAUUACCAUAAUAUUUUCUAAUCAUCAUGAAGAUUUAUCUUCAAAGAAGGUAUUUUGACUAGAUUGUUGAGGGCUUAGCGAUUGAUUGCUCAAGAUUUAGAGAAACUACAAAAUAGGAAAUCAUACACAUAAAGUAGAGAUAUAGUUGACGAAUUGACGAAGUUGUUUGUGAUGAUGCAAUUAUAAAGAUAAUAUUAUUAAGGUAAACUAUGACUUUGCUUUGUCAAUGUUACUUCAUCCAAUGAGCAUAUUGAUUGGCCAUUUGCCAACCUAAAUUUCUCAAGAUCCUCUAACAAAUUCAAAUCAACCGGCAAAAUUUGAUGAUUAUGUUGAUAUUGUUGAGCAAGUGGCGGUAACUAUUGAUACAUCUUAUGAUCUUGUAGAGUGAAGAGAUGUACUUUUUGAUAUAAUCUCAUAUGGUUCUCUUGAUUUGCCUAAAGAAGACAAAAAGAGUUGUUGUGUUAUCUUUCAACAGUCAGUAGAUUAUGAAAAGAAAUUAUUGUCCUCAACUAUGUUAAAGUUCAAAGCAAAAGUACGAGAAGGUAAUGUUAGCUAUUGGAGUGAUUGGAUGGACAUUGUUACCAAAGUUAGAAAAUUCAAAGUUCGUUGUCUACAUCAAGGAUCUAUUUUAAAAAUUAAUCCUUAUAGAUGUGAAGAUAAUCUUAGAGAUUAUAACAAGAAAAAUUCAACAAAGAAUUUUCUCCAGCACAAUGGGAAUGAUGCAAAGCAAAAAAUUGAAGAAAUCCUAAUUAUAUUGAAAUUUAUAAUAUUCAUGAAUACUUUAAUUAAUUUGUAUUUUAGUUUCAUUUGGUUGCUAUUUAGAGUUAAGUUUUAUUGUAUAGGCAUUACUUAUUUAAGUUCUAUUCCUUAUUUAGAUAUAAGUCCUAUUAAAACAGGUUUUCUAAUCAAAUUAAAAUAAGUCGUAGUUAGUAUAAAUAAGUGUCUUUUGUAACUUUUUACAAGUAGGAUUUGGUUAUUUCGUUAUUGAUUAUUCCUUGCAAUAAACUGUAGAUUUGAGUUCAAUAAUAUUUUCAGUUUUAAAAGCUCUGUGUGAGUUUUUGAGUUUAGUUAAUUCUCGGCAUUCUGUGGAAUCGAUGUGUCUUAACACUUAGGUUCAUGUAUUCUUUCGAAUCAAUGUGAACUUAGACCAUUCAUGUGUUCCAAUGUUCUAAAAAAUCAAUGGAAUAUUAGAGCAUUAAACUUUUGUUACAUAAAAUAUUUAAGAUUUACAUCCAUGAAGGAAAAUUUUGUAAAAUGAUAAUAAAUUUGACACUUACUAGAUUUCAGGGUGGUUUGGAUGGGUUAUAAAACAUGAGGGAAACAUCUUUGGUAUAUUUUCUCUAGAUGACAUGGGUAUUGAUGAGAUUAAGGAUAAAACUAUCACAAGCACAAGGGAUGAGGCAUAUUCAGAUCCUAUUCAAGUUCCCGCCGGACCCGUUACAAGAGCUCGAGCAAAGAAAUUCAAAGAAGCGCUUAAUGGAUUGAUUCAAGGAACUUGGGCUCAAUCAAUUUCGUGGAGGCCCAUUGAAGGAAUCGCACAUGAUAAAUGCAUGAUUCAGACUCUUGAAGUUUCCAAAUACUCACUUCCAUGAAAUAGGGAAUUGGCUUAAACAUUAUGGUGGGAAAAUAUAUUAUUUUCCUUUUUCAGAUACUUUCCCGUUUCUUGAGGAGUCUAUUAGGGAAUCAAAUCAAUUAUUUCUAUUUUAAUCGCCUAGUUUCCAUUUAAUUGAAGUAAGGCAUUUAAGACAAUUAGGAUCCUGAUUUAGUUUAAAUUCUUUCUUAUUUACAUAGAUUAGGAUUCUGAUUUGAUUUAGAUUCUUUCCUAUAAGGGAAGAUUUAGAUUCAUAUUUGAUUUUUGGGUUAGGAUUUAUUUCCAAAAGUUCUUGUAACCAACCUUAUAUAAAGUACUCAUAUUCAAUAAACAAAAAAGAAGUUUUUUUGAUGCAAUUGGUGAGAGAGUUAAUUCCCUUUGGUUCUUUACGAACUCUUUGAACUUAUUGAAUUUCUGUGGCGUUCAAAUUCUUGACUUAUCAAUCAGACCAUCCAUAACUGAUUGUGGCGUCUUUACAUACAAAGGUUCGUGCUUUCAAUAAGCAUUGGGUCGAGGUUCCAUUCCAUUCCUGGUUUAGAUUCGAUCUUGGGAACUAAAUUGACUAGGGUCGCAUCAGUUCUUGACGGGGUUCAUAUCAUCUGGUAUUAGAGCCUAGGCUUCAAGGUCAGGAUCCAUCUAUCUUUGUUGUUUUUCAUUCUUGUUUGAAUUUUUCAUCUUGUUGUAGUAUCUAUAAAAAAAAAUAAUAAUAAGUCGUGAAAUCUCUUGAAUAGUUCCGCAUGAACAGUAUUUUUAGAGUUUUCUUUUAAAAUCAAUUUUGCAUCUUUGUGGUUUAAUUCUCCUUAAAUCCACAAGUUUUACCUAUUCCUUUUCCUUAAAAAAAAAAUUCAACCUCCUCUUAAAAUCUUUCAUUUGUUUUUCAUUAUUUGUGUCUUGGAAGUAUAAAAUAAGUUUUACCCCAUCGGUGAAAAUUUUGCCCAAAAUCAAAACUCGACUUUCGUACACUUGCCUUCUUACUCUUGAAAUUAAAUUCUCCUUAGUUGUCAUCUUUGUGAAUUGCUUUUGAAAUCCUAAUAUUGCUUUGAUUAGUUUGAUAAAAAUCGAGUGAGGAUUAAUAAGAGUGAUUGUACUAUUUUGAUUAGUUUGAUAAGAACCUCAAGGCAAAGAGCAAAACUUUAUGAAUUAAAUAAAAAAAUCUAUUUAGGGAGACAUAUUAAGUCUCAUCUCUUAAAAGAACCAUGCUAUAAAAGUAGAACAGAAAACACAAUGAACGUCACUAAAAACAAAUAUGAACUCUCCUUCAGAAUCAAUAUUGGUGAGAAUCGGUGCAUGUGGUAGAAUGCUUAGUAAAAGCAUGAGCUCAUGUACAAGAAAUAUAAAACCUACCAAGGGUGAGAGACCUAAAUUUGAAAAUGCAUCAGUCACAUUAACCCCAAAUUUCGAAAUAAUAUUUCUAUAUAAUAUCAUAUAAAAUAAAAAAAAUAUAACUCUAACAUGAAAAAAGUGGAAAAAGAUAAUAAUUAAAUAUACAUAAAGGUAAAUGAGCCAUACCUGAUACGAACCCCGUCAAGAACUAACGCGACCCUAAUCAAUUUAGUUCCCAAGAUUGAAUCAAAACUAGGAAUGGAAUGGAACCUCGACCCAAUGCUUAUUGAAAGCACGAACCUUGGUAUGUGAAGACACCACAAUCAGUUAAGAAUGGUCUGAUUGAUAAGUCAAGAAUUUGAACGCCACGGAAAUCCGAUAAGUUCAAAGAGUUCGUAAAGAACCAAAGAGAAUUAACUCUCUGAUACGAACCCCGUCAAGACCUGACGCGGCCCUAAUCAAUUUAGUUCCCAAGAUAGAAUCUAAACCAGGAAUGGAAUGGAACCUCAACCCAAUGCUUAUUGAAAGCACGAACCUUGGAAGACUAGGGGUGGGCACAAACCCACAACCCAUGGGUUUACCCAAACCCAAACCAAAUUAAAUGGUUUGGGUUGGGUAAAUCAUGAAAAUGGGUUAGAUGUGGAUUUUAUAUAGAAAACCAUUUCAUUAUGGGUUGGGUAUGGUUUACCCAUGGGUCAUGGACAAAACCCCAACACUCAAAUUUUUCAAAUGAAAUAAAUGAAAACAAAAUAAAUGAACACAAAUAAGUGAAAGGCCACCAUUAAAUUUUUUACGGCGUGAUCAAUUGUCAAUAGUUAGAAAAUGAAAAUAACAUGUAAAAAUAAAUUUAAAUUAAAUAAAUAUUGUUGUAAAUAACAUAAAUUUUUUUUCUUAUUUACAAAAAUAAUUCCUCCCACAUGGAAGGAUCAUCAUAGAAAGAGCAGGAGACUCUACUAGUGAUCAAUAAUAACUCGGCUUGGACUGGAUCCAAUAUGCUAGAUGGCGGCUAAUUUUUGGUCAAUAAUUGAAUGUAAUGCCCAUAUUAGGCCCUGCACAAAACUUUGCUUACCAUAUAAUGAAAUUAGAACAUAAACCAUACACACUAUAUAAUAAUAACGCAAAACUACCAAAAUGAUAAAUAAAAACAAAUAUUGCAUAAUUAAAUAAAUAAAAAGUGGCAAAAUUUAUUAUUAGAUUGUUAAUGUCAUGUUUGUGAAAGUUUUAAUUAAAGUGUACGUUCUUAUUUAUUGAGAAAUAAUAAUUUUUGUGAU